UUAAAAACACGUAGAAGGAUAUGAAAACCAGGGAAUCAUUGAUUUUGGAGGGCGAAGAUGCCGCCAGGUAUUCCCAUUCCCUCACCCCCCCAAAAAAGAAAAAAAAAAGGUUUAACUCCUCCUUUGAUUAUUGAUCUGUUAUAUUUAUUUUGUUAUAAUCGAUUUUCAAAUUUAUGCUACUACAUUUUUAAUUUCUGUUUUUUGUUUUCUAAAAUAUAAAUUAUUUGACUAAUAUUUGAUAACAGUUUUCUGCUUAUUUGUUUUGAAUAAAAACUGAUUGUUUUUCUAUUUCAUGAAAUUGUAAUUUAAAUCUAAAAACAAAAGACAAAAGUUAUUAAGCCUUUGUUUGAAAGAUCAUAUUUCCAAAGAAUUUCUAGUGUGUUCGUCAUUUUUCUCGAAAAUACAUUGAAUCUUUUUCAUCCUAACUUUUAUUUUAUAUCGAAGUUGAGCUUUUGAGCUAAAUCAUAUUUUCUUUUGAACGAACCUUUUUUAUUCUCUUAACAUUCCUUAUUUUAUCACGAUUUCAGUUUUAGUAGAUUACAAAACAGAAGGGUAAAUCCUUUUUCAUAAUUUGGGUUGCCUUCCUUCUAACAUAUUUUCCUUCAAACCAUCUUUUCUUCCCUUCGACUUUUAUCCAUCUGACCGCUUCUUCUCUCCUCUCUAAAAUUUUAUUCUUCAACCUUACCUUAUCUUUUAAUUUUAAAAUAGAAUAUCUAAUCGGCAAUCUUUACUCUUUUAAUUACUCUCUUCAACAUUACCUUUUUAUCUUUUAAUUUCAAAAUAGAAUAUCAAAUUGACA